AGACUUUGAUGCUGGCUCAGAUUGAACGCUCGCGGCGUGCCUAACACAUGCAAGUCGUGCGUGAAAGGGCUUCGGCCUGAGUAAAGCGGCGCACGGGUGAGUAACGCGUGGAUGAUCUGCCCAUGAGUUGGGAAUAACGGCUGGAAACGGUCGCUAAUACCGAAUACGCUCCGAUUUCACAGUUCGGGGGAAAGGUGGCCUCUGCUUGCAAGCUACCGCUCAUGGAUGAGUCCGCGUCCCAUUAGCUAGUUGGCGGGGUAAUGGCCCACCAAGGCGACGAAGGGUAGCCGUCCUGAGAGGAUGAUCGGCCACACUGGGACUGGAACACGGCCCAGACUCCUACGGGAGGCAGCAGUGGGGAAUAUUGCGCUAUGGGCGAAAGCCUGACGCAGCGACGCCGCGUGAGGGAUGAAGGCCUUCGGGUUGUAAACCUCUGUCAGGCCCGAAGAACCGCCAUGGUGCUAAUCAGCCAUGGUCUGACGGUACCUCCAAAGGAAGCACCGGCUAACUCCGUGCCAGCAGCCGCGGUAAUACGGAGGGAGCAAGCGUUAUUCGGAAUU
rnacentral:rRNA from 1 species